UGCCUACGGGGGGCAGCAGUGGGGGAUAUUGCACAAUGGGGGCAACCCUGAUGCAGCGACGCCGCGUGAGCGAUGGAGUACUUCGGUAUGUAAAGCUCUGUCAGCAGGGAAGAGAAUGACGGUACCUGACCAAGAAGCCCCGGCUAAAUACGUGCCAGCAGCCGCGGUAAUACGUAUGGGGCAAGCGUUAUCCGGAAUUACUGGGUGUAAAGGGAGCGUAGACGGUUAAGUAAGUCUGGAGUGAAAGGCCGGGGCCCAACCCCGGGACUGCUCUGGAAACUAUUCAACUUGAGUGCAGGUGAGGG
rnacentral:rRNA from 1 species